GACGAGGGAUCCUAGCGUUGUUCGGAAUCAUUGGGCGUAAAGCGGGUGUAGGCGGCCUGACAAGUCAGAUGUGAAAGCCCAGGGCUUAACCCUGGAAGUGCAUUUGAUACUGUCGGGCUUGAAUGUGGGAGAGGGUAGUGGAAUUCCUGGUGUAGUGGUGAAAUACGUAGAUAUCAGGAGGAACACCGGUGGCGAAGGCGGCUACCUGGCCCAACAUUGACGCUCAGACCCGAAAGCGUGGGGAUCAAACAGG
rnacentral:rRNA from 1 species